rnacentral:rRNA from 1 species
GCUCGGCUGACAGCACUUGGGAGAUGUAUAGUCCUCUUAUGAGGCUAGUUAUUUUAUGAGUAGUAAUGCAUCCUGGUGAGGUUACUAGGCAUAUUAUAAUACCAACUACGUUGGCUAAAAUUCUAGAUAGAAUACUGAUUAUGACAAUUUUCUAUCUACUUGUCUUGACCAAAUUACGUGCCAGCAGUCGCGGUAAUACGUAGAAGACUAGUGUUAUUCAUCUUUAAUAGGUUUAAAGGGUACCUAGACGGUGUGACUAAUCAUAAUGGUAACAGUCAUACUAGAGUUUGAUAUGAGAAGGGGAGUAUUUACGGAGUAGAGUUAAAAUUCUUUGAUACUUUAAGGACUGGCAAUGGCGAAAGCGACCUUUUAUGUAAAAACUGACGUUGAGGGACGAAGGCUUGGAUAGCGAACAGGAUUAGAUACCCUAGUAGUCUUUGCAGAAAAUGAUGAAUGCCAUAGACUAGAUUUUUUUGGUUUAUAAAUGAAAGUGUAAGCAUUCCACCUCAAGAGUAAUGUGGCAACGCAGGAACUGAAAUCAUUAGACCGUUUCUGAGAACAGUAGUGAAGUAUGUUAUUUAAUG